AGAGCCCCGACACCGGCCCCUGCCACUCACAGGAACACUUGGAAGAACACGGAGACCCUCCCUUUACCACCUGUGAGGAGUCACCAUUCCAAACUGGCCACGACACCGGCCAGGAAGUGAGCUCAGACGAGCAACUGAGCGAGGAGGAGGACCUUGAGGAG